AUGGUAUAAUAAAAUCGGAGGCCCCGACUGUUUACUAAAAACACAAUUCAGAGCAAUGAUAAAUAUCAUAGUAUUCUGGAUGAAAUUUGCCCAAUGCCAUUAACAUAAGAGAGGUUAUGGGUAACUGUAACUAAUCGAAAGUCUGGUUAAUAGCGGUCUUAACUAUGAGGAUCCAAAGGUAGCAAAAUAAAUUGGCCAUUAAAUGUGGUCUUGUAUCAAUAAUGUAACGAUGGUCUCACUGUCUCUACAACUUGCUCAGUGAAAUUGAAUUACCCGUGCAGAUGCGGGUUACCUCCA
rnacentral:rRNA from 1 species